rnacentral:rRNA from 1 species
UACGAAGGGUGCAAGCGUUACUCGGAAUUACUGGGCGUAAAGCGUGCGUAGGUGGUGAGUUAAGUCUGUCGUGAAAGCCCCGGGCUCAACCUGGGAAUGGCGAUGGAUACUGGCUCGCUAGAGUGCGGUAGGGGGAGACUGGAAUUCCUGGUGUAGCGGUGAAAUGCGCAGAUAUCAGGAGGAACACCGAUUGCGAAGGCAGCUCGCUGGGACGUCACUGACGCUGAGACGCGAAAGCGUGGGGAGCAAACAGG